CCCCUCUCUGUCUGACUCCAUUUCUUCUGCAGGCUGGUCUGCUUUCAGUUCUCCUCUGUCUUCUCUCUAUUCCCACCUCAGAUCUUCUUUUGGUGUCUUCUGAUCUUCUGUCUGCACUAUAAUUUUCUAAUGGCUGACAAAAAGCGCGCCCUGCCAAAGAGGAAAGAACGGACUGAGGAGGUCAGAGAUGACGGACAGAAGCCUGAGGAGAACGGAGAGGUCUCCUCAGGAUCUGCUGCUGCAGUGGAAAACAGUGAGAAUGGCACACUUCAGUUUGAGCCCAUGGAGCUACCCCCUUUUGAAGUCAUCACUGGAGACCGGAUCGACCCAUUUGUCUUCAAGUUCCAGUUCAAAAAUGUGGAGUACUCGUCCGGGCGCAACAAGACGCUGCUGUGUUACCUGGUUGAUACUGGGGGUGCUGGGGAUGGGCUGCUAAGGGGCUACCUGGAGGAUGAACACGCUGGGAUCCACGCUGAGGAGGCAUUCUUCACACACUGUCUGCCGAACAUUGACCCCAAUGUUCAGUAUACAAUAACCUGGUACGUGUCGUCCAGCCCUUGCCACGCUUGUUCCUUAAAGCUAGCAGAGGUGCUGAAGGCCAGGAAAAAUGUCAAGCUCAGCAUCUUUUCUGCUCGCCUGUUCGAGUGGGAGGCAGAGGAGGUCCAGGCUGGUCUGAAGGCCCUGCACAGCGCCGGCUGCAAGCUUAGAGUGAUGAAGCCUCUGGACUUCUCUUACACCUGGGACACCUUUGUGGAAACUGAAGAGCAACCGCUGAACCUGUGGGAGGACUGCAAAGAUAACUAUGAGUACUACCACGAGAAGCUGGACCAGAUUCUGCACUGACUGCACGUGAGGGUUCAGUGUUCUGCCCAAGGAGCCAUUGACAUGUGACUGCAGCAGCCAGCAAUUGAACCACCAAGGUUUCAACUACCUCUGACAAACAGACGUUAUACUUAAAUUCACCACUGAAGUUGUCUACACAAAAACCAGGGAAUAUCAAAUCAAGUUAAGCUUUUUUCCAUGACUGCAGUGUACCACUCCGAGCACAGAUGCCAGGCAAUCCCUCAGCUGGGCACAAACAUUUCCUGGACUAGCUGAACGUUCUGGAACCUGGAGUGGUAUGGAAGCACCUGCACUGGGGGAUCUGGAUUCUGCAUUUUUGGUUAAAAAAUCUUUAAGGACUUGGAAAAACUUGUGAUAAAACCAACUCUGUAUUCCAAAGAUCAAACUAUUAUUCUGGCUGAACUCUGUCAAAAAGGUCUAAACACUUGUCGUCAAGAAUUUUUGUAUCUUACCGACUUUCCUCUCUUUCUUACCUUCAUCCGUCCCACCUUCUGGAUCUUUUGUCCCCUGCUGAUCUCUGAUAACAGAGGAGAUUGUAGUUCAGUACAGUUCUUGCAGAGCAAGCCCACAUCAUCAGCCCUCCGCCACUAUGCCUGACACACAUCUCGACUUCUCUUGUUUCUGAACCAGUCUUUCUGUAGAUGUACUUCACAGUUUAUGUGCAAACUUGACAAGAACCAAAAUAAAUCUGUUUUUGAAGGAUA